AUGUAGCUAAGGACAAUAAAAUGCUAGCAUUUUGAGAGGUUCAAUUAAAUACUACAAUGUUAAUAGCAUUUAAAGCUACUCGACGAAAAACAAGUUCUGAGGUAACUCACGCUUAAACGACGACACGAAUGACGUCUUGAGAAGCAUCGUAAAACUGCCUUCUGGUGGAGAGCAGAGACUUCGUAGCGAGAUGUGUCUUGCUGACGGUUUAGCUGGACAGAGCCGGGUGAGACUGUCAAACCUUGCCGAUCUGAGCCGAGAGAGAAGCGCAGGGGAGCGUCAGUCCUCCGUCCCGCAGAAGAGCCAAGCCGAGCCAAGCUGAGCCCUCCCUGCACUGAAGCCAUCGCAUUCAGCCAAGAUUGCUUCAUACAAAAGUUGACAAUGCCCUAGUGAAAGCCAUUGUUGAUAUUCAACAUUUUUUAAAUAGCUGAGCAGAAUGGACAACAUGGCAGACUACAAAACUUGGAGGGGAAACUGACCUGGAGCUCCUGAAAAGCACCACUGAAUGUGAAAGAGA
rnacentral:lncRNA from 1 species